CCUCAAAUCAGGUAGGAUUACCCGCUGAACUUAAGCAUAUCAAAGGCCGGAGGA
rnacentral:rRNA from 1 species